rnacentral:tRNA from 1 species
GCGUCUGUUGGGCAGGUGGUGAGCCCAAGCGCCUGUAAAGCGCUCGCGUACGCUGUGCAGGUUCGAUUCCUGCCAGGCGCA